GAUGAAAGAACGUAGCGAAAUGCGAUACGUAAUGAGAAUUGCAGAAUUCAGUGAAUCAUCGAGUCUUUGAACGCACAUUGCGCCCCCUGGUAUUCCGGGGGGCAUGCCUGUCCGAGCGUCAUUGCUGCCCUCAAGCACGGCUUGUGUGUUGGGCCUCCGUCCUCCUCCCGGGGGACGGGCCCGAAAGGCAGCGGCGGCACCGCGUCCGGUCCUCGAGCGUAUGGGGCUUCGUCACCCGCUCUUGUAGGCCCGGCCGGCGCUUGCCGACACAUCAAUCUUUUUUCCAGGUUGACCUCGGAUCAGGUAGGGAUACCCGCUGAACUUAAGCAUAUCAAUAAGCGGAGGA
rnacentral:misc_RNA from 1 species